rnacentral:rRNA from 1 species
CUUUGGGAUAACCCUCGGAAACGGGGGCUAAUACCGGAUAUGACCUUUGGACGCAUGUCUUUUGGUGGAAAGUUUUUCGGCCUGGGAUGGGCUCGCGGCCUAUCAGCUUGUUGGUGGGGUGAUGGCCUACCAAGGCGACGACGGGUAGCCGGCCUGAGAGGGCGACCGGCCACACUGGGACUGAGACACGGCCCAGACUCCUACGGGAGGCAGCAGUGGGGAAUAUUGCACAAUGGGCGGAAGCCUGAUGCAGCGACGCCGCGUGAGGGAUGACGGCCUUCGGGUUGUAAACCUCUUUCAGCAGGGACGAAGCGGAAGUGACGGUACCUGCAGAAGAAGCGCCGGCCAACUACGUGCCAGCAGCCGCGGUAAGACGUAGGGCGCGAGCGUUGUCCGGAUUUAUUGGGCGUAAAGAGCUCGUAGGCGGCUUGUCGCGUCGACCGUGAAAACUUGGGGCUCAACCCCAAGCCUGCGGUCGAUACGGGCAGGCUAGAGUUCGGUAGGGGAGACUGGAAUUCCUGGUGUAGCGGUGAAAUGCGCAGAUAUCAGGAGGAACACCGGUGGCGAAGGCGGGUCUCUGGGCCGAUACUGACGCUGAGGAGCGAAAGCGUGGGGAGCGAACAGGAUUAGAUACCCUGGUAGUCCACGCUGUAAACGUUGGGCGC